rnacentral:rRNA from 1 species
GCAAGUCGAGCGGAAACAGAGGGAAAGCUUGCUUUCUUUGCUGUCGAGCGGCGGACGGGUGAGUAAUGCCUAGAUAUCUGCCUAGUCGUGGGGGAUAACAGUUGGAAACGACUGCUAAUACCGCAUACGCCCUACGAGGGAAAGGAGAGGACCUUCGGGCCUUUCGCGAAUAGAUAGUCUAGGUGGGAUUAGCUAGUGGGUGAGGUAAUGGCUCACCUAGGCGACGAUCGCUAGCUGUUCUGAGAGGAUGAUC